AAAAGUAUCCUACAUAUUACUAUUUUGUGUUGUUCAACCUAACUGUUUGAUGAUAUUGUUCAUACUUCAUACGGUACCUUGACAAAUAAGAAAAUGAGUUUUAACGGUUCAGCGCCGUCAUACGUUGGCGCGUGAGUCUUAACUCUCCAGCCCCAUGGGAUCGAUGCUACUUCGAGUGAUGUCACAUUUUGUGGAGCCCAUGUUCAGUAUCUUUGCAGUAAUAACUAGUUUUACCGAAUAAGAAAAUGGUUUAAUUGCCUAGAUUUGGUUUUAAGAACCUAGGUUUAACUCAACCAAUAUAAAUAAUUCUACAAUUCAAUUUGACCCGUAGGGCUGUAACCGAUACAAAAUGAUUGUGUGUGCUGUAUAUUGUAACCGUCAGAUUGGAGUAUUUUAAUAUCUGACGAGUUCUUGAUUAAUCAGUCUUGAUUCAGGACUACAUAACUUUUCUUUUGCUAAAAAAUGUUACAAAAGGACUAUAUCCUACUAUAUAAAAGGGACUAAAUUCAAGGCUUUUGGGACUAUCCACCUCAGCCAAAAUAUUCUCAUCCAAUGAAGUUGCCAUGUCAUCCAAUGAAAUUAGUAAUCUAUUUGGGUCUAAUUUUUACCAAACCAAAAUAUUCAAUAAUUCCAAUUCAUUUGGUUGAAUGCCCCAUGCUUCCCGAAAGAUUCUGCAGAUAAAGUUUACCGAUUAUUACCUUUGGCUUCUUCAAGAAUAUAGCGACCCUUGAAUUCUAAGGUUCUUCGUUUUCUUCGAGUUCAGAUUAGGUCAAGCUUCAAUAGAGUUUCUGAAAGGUUGUGUGAGACGAAUCGUCUUGAGAAAUCCCUGGGUUGAACUUUAUUCGUGUCGCUUCGUCCAAAAUUAUUCUCCUCUAAAACGUUAUGGAAUUUAUUGAUUCAUCGUCAUUAACAAUAACCUUAAUUCUUCCCCCAGAACAAGCACAAUUACUUCUUCUUAUCUCUAUUUGAGAUUAUCUCUUCUCUUUAUAGAACAACUUCACUUAAAGAUUAUCGUCAUACACAAAAGAUUUCUCAAUUCUAAUCCACAUAGAAGACCACUCCCAGAGAUGAUGAAAAAAAAACACAAUCCAAAAGGUAAAAGCUUGAUUUCUUUGAAUUAUGGAUCUUCAUAAUAAACUGAUUUGUCAUUUAUAGAAUGUCGUAAUUGGCUAUAGCUUUUCUACAGGGAACUGCAAAUACGUUUGCCCAUGAAUCCACCUGGAAAACAAACCAGCUUUAGAAAUCAGGCCCGAUUAGCUAUUGUCUGAACAUGUUUCAGGUUUUCAAUUGACUCCAGACAUUUACUGGAGAGAUUUGUCUCAGGGAUACAUUCAGCCACAAGAUUUGCCAACACCGGAAAGAUCUAACAAGUCUCUAAUUUCGUUAGGGAUCAAACCUGUGAGAUUCCUAGAUAAUAAAAGUGACUAAAGUUAUAGAAUUUAGCUUUUAGGAUGUAUCGUCUGUAACAGAGCUUGAAAGUGGGAUGAAAAGAAACAGAGGAGGAGGAGGAGGAGUCUUAAACCUUACAAGCACAACUACAGUUGCAAUGAACAAGGUAAUGAUCACAUGUUGCUUCAUUUACUACUUUGAUGGUCCUUAAACAUCUUUUUGAUCAAUCUUGCGCUGUCUUCACAUUUUUUCAUCUAAUGUCACCCACAAAACAAGCUAAACUGCUAAGUGAUCAAGGAUUAACAAAAGUUGUAUGCACAGCUGGACAGCAAACAGAAUGUGUACUCUCAUUCCUAACUUCAUAAUACUCUAAAAUCAUGAGAGGAUUGGUUGUGUCGUGUAUGUUGUGUGUUUAUAGAUAGAGAUGAUGUCAUAGGCAAUUGAUGAAACAUUUGACAAAGAAGAAGUUGGAAAAACUACAGAUCUAGCUAAUCAGGUAAUUAUUGAAAUUUCAGUCACAAGAUACAGUCACACACAGCUUUCGUUUGUUUUUUUAAUUCUUCAAUCUAACUAAUUCCUCAAUAUUCUGCUGUUCUUAUAGGUGGUCGAUGAGAUUACAGUUCACAGGUUGGCUUUUCUUAAGUAGUCAGUUAAAAUUUGUCAAGAAAAUAUUACAAAUGGUUUAAAACUAAUUUUACCUGCUUCUUUCUCAACAGGUAUGUAUCUUCAUCUCUAAAACGCAGGAUGGCUACAAAAAAAUGACGUUCCCACUACAGUCAAUAAAAAGAGGCAAGUGUAUGUAAAUAGACAUGACAGUUCAAAUUACUUACUUUGAUCUAUUACGUUUAUCAGGAAUAGAUAAUUCAUUCUUUUCGGUGUUCAAAUAUUAUUGCAGCUUGGAAUUUACUGAAGUGGAUGAUCUAGAGAAGAGAUUGACUUAGCUUUGAUGAAUCUGAGAGAUGAACCUUCUUAUUCGUAGGUAUCACUCAUCAUGCAUCAAAUGAAAGAAGCUCCCUUAAUUAUUUUGAAAGUUGUGUUCUGUCAAAGUGUAAACAAAAUAUAUUUUAGAUUUUUUUUGUCUCGAUUCUAAGAAUUUUUUAGGCUGAUAUAAAAGUAUAUUAUAUCAUUUAUGUAUGUUCUAUAGGUAUUGUAAUUUUCCUAAUGAAAAACAAAGUAUUCAUAUUUUGUCUCGAUUUAAGGAAAUCUUUUUUUUCUAAUUUGCUGGUGUUAGUUAAAAUGUAACUGAUGUAACUGAACUAGAGGGUGGAGGAGGAGGGCUCCGGGAAGAAGCAGCAGAGAACAAGUUGUGCUUGGUUCGGCUGACACUCUCUUCAACACGAUUAUACGAAUCCUACAUGGUCCUUCAACCAUAAGGCAACCAAGGUUGUCUAUACUCAAAACUAUCGUAUCUUCCUACAAAAUUAUAGUACACAAUCAAGCUGAUUUCCUUUUAUUAUUGAACCCAUUCACCAAAUACGUUCCAGCUCAAAUAUAUAACAAUGUGAAAUUCACAACUUAUUUGUAAUAUCCCAUAAAAUAAAAUAAUAAGAUCAAUAGGAAAAACAAUCUCAUAACAAACAAUGAUUUCACAAUUCUGUUUAAAAGGAAAUACCACAAUGUUUAAAUUCUGCGCAUAGCGUGGACCAGUCCUAGAUCAUAACAGUCCUAGGCUGUAAUCUAUAUAAUUAUAUAAUUGUAUAUUUUCAUUCAUUUUCACAUUAUCAAAAUCAAUAGGUUUAAAAUGUAUAAAAUACCAACGCAUUCAAAAACAAAUACAUAAGAAUGAAAAAUAAUUCAUAAUUUGCAUUGAAUUUCAACUAUAGUGACAAAUAUUUUUAUUUUACUUCCUUUUAUAAUAAAAUAUAACAAACACUAAAAUGAAAAAUAAUUAUAUUAAUGAAA